rnacentral:lncRNA from 1 species
AAUUGAUGUGUAACCUACACCCUCCUGACCAAUAGGAUCUCAAAUAACCUUGACCUCGUCAGUCUGUGGAGUUUUGUGAUGGGGGAAGAGUGGUGGGAAUCCUCCUGGAGAAGGACAGGAAGUCUGUGACAGUCUUUGAUGGAUUCUCUCAGUCCUCAAGAGUACUAAAAGUGCAUCAGUUUCCAUCCACAGAUAUGUAGGAGGGAUGGAAGCACAGCUGGUGUACAGUCACGUGUGUGACAUACGUUGUCUCCAUGAAGUGAAGCCAUCUUCCACCCCUUGCACACAGCCUGGCCUCUGAAGGCUGCCUGAGUUUUCUGCAGUUCCUACCAAGCCAGCAGUGCAGUCACCUGCUGCUCAGGAACCUGUCACCAGGGCUCAAAGGCCAGAGCAGGAGACCAAAGGCAUUUUGGUGCUUGAGCCUUGCUGGGGGCCUGGCUGAGGACCCCAGUGCCUGGUAAGCACGCUGGUUCUUUUAGGAGUCCCCACCCUAGUGGGGUGUAGGAAAGAGUCCUUCAUUUAAUACCAUCCGUCAUCUGAUGGUAUUGAAAUACCCAAACCUUACCUAGCUAAUCUAUCAUUUGGAAAGUAUCUCUAAUAAGGCAGAUA